AAGUACGUUGUUUCUAGGGCUAGCAACUCAUGAAGCAUCAUCAGUUUAAUGAUGGAAUUUUUUGUCUGAAUUAGGUGAUAUUAGUGGGUUGCUAAGGUGGCCAGCAGCCCCACCUGGGUAAGAACUGUGGUGGAUAUUAGAAAGUUAGUUGUAGCUCUAAUGCUCCUUAAAUUAUCUGCGGUUCAUUGCCAUCCGUCACAGGAUGGAAAUGCUGGUUGUUGAAGUCUGCAAGCAUGGCGUGUGGCUAUUAGGUAAGAAUGUAAUACAUUGAGCUGCAAGAUUCACCUUAUGCAUAAUAUACAGGUCAUCAUGUUGUCUCCAGCAUCUCAGGUUUAUACACUUCCGCUUAUUGGUACUAUGUAUGUGCGAAGCAGUCCAUGAUUUGAGCUCUUGCUCUGCCCCUUUACCAUAUUUGUUCAUAGUUGGUGAAAAAAGCUUAGCAUUUUUAGCAACUGCAGAACAGGCUGAUCAAUAUAGACAUACGUAGGAUUCUUGCUGAAGAAGGUGCCAAUUCACAGAAGAGUAGUGAUGCACUCUACCAUGCUUCAUCUGAGGCUGGCAAGGAACUUUACAACGAGGGUGAUUUUGAAAAAUCUAAGAUUAUGAAUCUUGAGGCGUAUCUCUUGAAUAAGGUUGGUAUGUUUCCAGAUGUCUUAGAGCGCAAGGUGACUCGCCACUUUGAUGAUGGGGAUGAAGUGGGUUCCUACCAAUUUGUCCUUUUAUUCCCUUUUCUUUCAUAUUGUCUGUCUGAGGCAUCACUGUGAACAUCAUAAUCCUGUGUGCAAUAGCCAUGGUAACUGGAGAGUUCUAUACAAAGAAAGAUCUCUUUCCAGGAUUUGGAUGUCCUUUUGCCUUUUAAGCGGAGAUUUUACUAAGGUUUGUCAAUACUACUACUUUAUACACAUGCUACUUUCCUAUUCUCUCUCUCUCUCUCUCUCUCUAGAAAUACUUCACAUUUGGCAGAGUUGGAUGGGCCUCCGAAGCUGAAGAUGCUGCUAGGGUGGCUCUUAAAUUGCCAUGGUGGACAUUAAGCUACACAUAUGAGGUAUGUCUAUCCAUUGCUAUGAACACAUUCUGUUUCAGUGCCUCGUGUGCUUGUUUACGAGAAUGUCGGGUGGUUCAGGAAGUCUGCUCAAAUAGUACAGUGGGAGGAUGAACAACUAGAGUACACCAAAGAAGUGUCAGAAGAGGGAAAACAAGAGGAUAUCAAGAAGGGCAAGGCACCUGCGCAAGUCUCUUUGGACGUGGCUGAAGCGGGGACUCAAUCCAAGUUCGUUCUGUUCCGGGUUUG